CAGUCGAGCGGAACGAGUUAUCUGAACCUUCGGGGGACGAUAACGGCGUCGAGCGGCGGACGGGUGAGUAAUGCCUAGGAAAUUGCCCUGAUGUGGGGGAUAACCAUUGGAAACGAUGGCUAAUACCGCAUGAUGCCUACGGGCCAAAGAGGGGGACCUUCGGGCCUCUCGCGUCAGGAUAUGCCUAGGUGGGAUUAGCUAGUUGGUGAGGUAAGGGCUCACCAAGGCGACGAUCCCUAGCUGGUCUGAGAGGAUGAUCAGCCACACUGGAACUGAGACACGGUCCAGACUCCUACGGGAGGCAGCAGUGGGGAAUAUUGCACAAUGGGCGCAAGCCUGAUGCAGCCAUGCCGCGUGUGUGAAGAAGGCCUUCGGGUUGUAAAGCACUUUCAGUCGUGAGGAAGGUGGUGUAGUUAAUAGCUGUAUCAUUUGACGUUAGCGACAGAAGAAGCACCGGCUAACUCCGUGCCAGCAG
rnacentral:rRNA from 1 species